UUGUUUUUUUAGGUUUUGAUUUUUGUGAAAUGUCGAUGAGAAAAUCAAAACCUAAAGAAAAUA
rfam:Danio rerio chromosome 18, GRCz11 reference primary assembly.